rnacentral:rRNA from 1 species
GUAGGGUGCGAGCGUUGUCCGGAAUUAUUGGGCGUAAAGGGCUCGUAGGCGGUCUGUCGCGUCGGGAGUGAAAACUCAGGGCUUAACCCUGAGCCUGCUUCCGAUACGGGCAGACUAGAGGUAUGCAGGGGAGAACGGAAUUCCUGGUGUAGCGGUGGAAUGCGCAGAUAUCAGGAGGAACACCGGUGGCGAAGGUGGUUCUCUGAGCAUUACCUGACGCUGAGGAGCGAAAGUGUGGGGAGCGAACAGGAUUAGAUACCCUGGUAGUCCACACCGUAAACGUUGGGCGCUAGGUGUGGGACUCAUUCCACGAGUUCCGUGCCGCAGCUAACGCAUUAAGCGCCCCGCCUGGGGAGUACGGCCGCAAGGCUA